GAUGAACGCUGGCGGCGUGCCUAAUACAUGCAAGUCGAGCGAAGCGGGGACGGGUGAGUAACACGUGGAAACCCUCCUAUACGACUGGGAUAACUUCGGGAAACCGGUGCUAAACGGGAUACUUAUAGAUCGCUCCUCGCUGCAUUAGCUAGUUGGUAAGUGAACGGCUUACUAACGCAACGAUGCAUAGCCGACCUGAGAGGGUGAUCGGCCACACUGGGACGGAGACACGGCCCAGACUCCUACGGGAGGCAGCAGUAGGGAAUCUUCCGCAAUGGGCGAAAGCCUGACGGAGCAACGCCGCGUGAGUGAAGAAGGUUUUCGGAUCGUAAAACUCUGUUAUUAGGGAAGCGGUACCUAAUCAGAAAGCCACGGCUAACUACGUGCCAGCAGCCGCGGUAAUAC
rnacentral:rRNA from 1 species